CCAAUUUAUUCUUCCAGGACGGCAUUGAACCUAUACCUGGUGCAGAGAAGGCUGUUGCUGCAACUGCAGGAGAAGAAUCUGUUCAGGGCAGCAAAACCAAUGAAGAAGAACCUGAUGCAGAAAAUACUGCGGAAGGAGAGGAGGGCGACGAAGAUGAAGAAAA